AUGCAAGACUACUUUGCGGACAAUCCAACAUAUCCGCCGCACCUCUUCCGGAGAAGGUACCGAAUGCGCGAAUCCCUCUUUGUGAAAAUAAUUCAAGCUUGCGAGGCCAAUUGUCAUUAUUUUACUCAAAAAAUAAAUGUCGCGGGCUUGUAGGGAUUUAGUGCAUAUCAAAAAAUCUCGGCAGCUACGUAGGUAAUUGCAUACGGCAUUCUGGCUGACUAUGCUAAUGAGUACCUUCGCAUUGGUGAAGAUAUUACAAUUGAGUCAGUGCGUAGGUUUGCCAAAGUGAUGGCAUCUAGUGAGAGAAGAAGUUGGCUUGGCACGCUAGGAAGCAUUGAUUUUAUGCAACUUGGAAAAACUGCCUGA
rnacentral:rRNA from 1 species